ensembl:snRNA U6 U6 spliceosomal RNA
GGGCUCAGUUUGGAAGUGCACAUAACAAAAAUUUGGACUAAUACAGAGAAGAUUAAUAUGGCCUCUACACAAGGGUAACAUGCAAAUUCAUGAAGUGUUCCCUAAAUUU